AUUAGAGCAAAGAACAUAACAAUGUAGAAAAUAGUCCAUGAGCUAAGUGUGGAAAGACUGCACAGUGAAAAAAAAAAAUGGAAAAGAGGGAAAAAUACAGAAAACUGCCUUUGGAAAUUAAAUGAGCAAACAAAGUGAGGCAGUGCACUAUGCAUAGUGAGCAUGUCUAGGUAACACUAUAAUGCAAAACUCCCAGGUGAAAAACGUGUUGUGUGUAUUUGAAAGAACCAAGUGCAAAUUGCAAAAAUCUGCCCAAUAUUUUACCACUAAACUGCACAAACACUCACACACACCCAACUCUAAGACCUUCGACCCUCCUAAUUCUAUCGCCACUCCUUACACAACUCACCAUCACAGGCCACAAACAACCAGGUUCUAUGUAAUUUAAAAGUAAUUGGGAAGAAACCAAGUGAAAAUGAGGCAAAAAGGAGCAAAAACGAAGAAAAGAAAAAACUGGCUAGAAGUGCAAAAAAAGGCCAGUUUUGCAAUUUCGAAGAUUUGAAAUUAUGAGGACUGUUUUUUUCAUUUUUUGAGUGAGGAAAUGGGG